rnacentral:rRNA from 1 species
GACGAACGCUGGCGGCGUGCUUAACACAUGCAAGUCGAACGGAAAGGCCCUGCUUUUGUGGGGUGCUCGAGUGGCGAACGGGUGAGUAACACGUGAGUAACCUGCCCUUGACUUUGGGAUAACUUCAGGAAACUGGGGCUAAUACCGGAUAGGAGCUCCUGCUGCAUGGUGGGGGUUGGAAAGUUUCGGCGGUUGGGGAUGGACUCGCGGCUUAUCAGCUUGUUGGUGGGGUAGUGGCUUACCAAGGCUUUGACGGGUAGCCGGCCUGAGAGGGUGACCGGCCACAAUGGGACUGAGAGACGGCCCAGACGGCUACGGGAGGCAGCAGUGGGGAAUAUUGCACAAUGGGCGGAAGCCUGAUGCAGCAACGCCGCGGGCGGGAUGACGGCCUUCGGGUUGUAAACAGCUGUCGCCUGUGACGAAGCGUGAGUGACGGUAAUGGGUAAAGAAGCACCGGCUAACUACGUG